rnacentral:rRNA from 1 species
UACGUAGGGGGCAAGCGUUGUCCGGAAUUAUUGGGCGUAAAGAGCGCGUAGGCGGUCCGAUAAGUCAGCUGUGAAAGUCAAGGGCUCAACCCUUGAAAGCCGGUUGAUACUGUCGGGCUAGAGUCCGGAAGAGGCGAGUGGAAUUCCCGGUGUAGCGGUGAAAUGCGCAGAUAUCAGGAGGAACACCAAUUGCGAAGGCAGCUCGCUGGGACGUUACUGACGCUGAGACGCGAAAGCGUGGGGAGCAAACAGG